GAUGAACGCUAGCGGAACGCCUAACACAUGCAAGUCGAGCGGGGGAAGGUAGCUUGCUACCGGACCUAGCGGCGGACGGGUGAGUAAUGCUUAGGAAUCUGCCUAUUAGUGGGGGACAACAUCUCGAAAGGGAUGCUAAUACCGCAUACGUCCUACGGGAGAAAGCAGGGGAUCUUCGGACCUUGCGCUAAUAGAUGAGCCUAAGUCGGAUUAGCUAGUUGGUGGGGUAAAGGCCUACCAAGGCGACGAUCUGUAGCGGGUCUGGGAGGAUGAUCCGCCACACUGGGACUGAGACACGGCCCAGACUCCUACGGGAGGCAGCAGUGGGGAAUAUUGGACAAUGGGGGGAACCCUGAUCCAGCCAUGCCGCGUGUGUGAAGAAGGCCUUAUGGUUGUAAAGCACUUUAAGCGAGGAGGAGGCUACUUUAGUUAAUACCUAGAGAUAGUGACGUUACUCGCAGAAUAAGCACCGGCUAACUCUGUGCCAGCAGCCGCGGUAA
rnacentral:rRNA from 1 species